AGAUUGAACGCUGGCGGCAUGCCUAACACAUGCAAGUCGAACGGGAGUAGCAAUACUCUAGUGGCGGACGGGUGAGGAAUACGUAGGAAUUUGCCCUUAAGUGGGGGAUAACCCGGGGAAACCCGGAUUAAUACCGCAUGACCUCGAAAGAGCAAAGUGGGGGAUCGCAAGACCUCACGCUUUUGGAGAAGCCUACGUCGGAUUAGCUAGUUGGUGAGGUAAUGGCUCACCAAGGCGACGAUCCGUAACUGGUCUGAGAGGAUGAUCAGUCACACCGGAACUGAGACACGGUCCGACUCCGUACGGGAGCAGCAGUGGGAAUA
rnacentral:rRNA from 1 species